AAGGACACAAUGCAAACAAAUAACCAUGUGAAAAAAGAACAUGUGAAGAUGUCCACUAUCUGGCGCUGAGGGACUUGCUCUCCUCUUUCUUCACGUAUUCCUCAUGCUUGCACUACUUUGGCUACUCACAGUUGGUCACAGUGACAAUUUCUCUCCAUGAAAACUGCUCAUGUUAAACUGAAGGCUCAAGAGAUUUCUCACCACCUUUAAACAUCCUAUUCCACUUCAGCACAUCUAAAAAGAGGCUCUUGCACCAUUUUUUCCUUGUGAAACCAGUUCAAUGCCCUACUGAAGGCUAGACUUGAGCCUGUUAAACAUUAACUUGUAUUGCAAUAAAUGACUGGAAAAUGUUUCAGGAAUUCCACUGGCUGGAAGAAAAAGGCAUGUAUACUGAGGUACUUCUCUGUCACCAAAGUACUUCUGGUGGGUUACUUCUUAACGCUUUUGAUGUAUGCCCCACAGCUGAAAACCUAGCAUCCUACAAAUGACAGAGACGUCCAGUACAAGCAGCAUAUGAUCCAUGUCUACUCUGUUCUAUUUUCUGCUGUGUUCAUAAACAAUCAGCUGAUGACCAGCUGAAAACAACAGCUUUGAAAUUUGCUUGAACUGUUUCUUGUGACUCAGCAGAAGUACAGACACAUGAAAUAAGAAGAUUUGUCAAAGCUUGAACAGAAAAAAUUGGGUUUCGUGGAUGAGAUGCCCAAAAGGCCUCAGCACGGCACAGGAGAUCUUAGUGAUGGCUCAAAGGACACAACUGACAGGUUGCUGAUGAAGAUGUUGAACAAGAUCCAACCCAGCACUGAACCCUGGGGAUCACUUUUAGUUACAGGCCUCCAAUCACACUCUGAGCUGCUGAUGACAACCCUCUGAGCCCUACAAGUCAGCCAGUUCUCAAUCCGCCUCACCGUCCAUGUAUCUAUCCUACACUUUCUAAGUUUCACAGCAAUUUAAGUGGAUUAAAGUGAAAUCAACUGAACAACUUGAGAGUGGUUUCCAAGAAGAGUACUAUCCUUCCAAGCAAGGUACAUUACAGAUGGUGCAAGUGAAGCAGCCACAAGUCGCAGAUUUGUGGAUACUGGGUAAGCAUACUGGGAGGCAAAAUGUUCUACAUGCAAGGAAAUUGACUACUCAAGAGAUUUAACAGUGGCUAACUGUGCAUCUUCCAUAGUUCUGCUGCUCUAGUCUGUAUUUACGAAUCUUAAAUGUGGGACACAGAGAAACCAUUUCACCACUGCAAGCAAUUGCAAGGAAAAGCCAAAAAUGUUUGUCUUCAGUAGCGAACACCAGGCAUUGUGUACAACACAUUACACAAAUCCAGCCCCACCUUGCACAUGUUACUCUCACAGGGGAUUGAGUAAGAAACCAAAUACAUGGGACUACAGUCUAAAACGCUGCGUAUUUUUCAUUCUGUGCAUUUUUCAUUCAUUCAUUUCUCAUUCUGGAAUAAUGGCAAUUUCUCAGCUUAUUUACCACAGAAUUAUAGAAUAACCAAGGUUGGAAAAGACCUCCAAGAUCAUCCAGUCCAACUGUUCACCUGCCAUCAACAUUUCCCAUUAAAUUGUGUCCCUCAGCGCAAUAUCUAAAUGUUCCUUGAACACUCCCAGGGUUGGUGACUCCACCACCUCCCUGGGCAGCUCAUCCCAGCACCUGACCACCCUUUCAGAGAGAAGAGGUAUUUCCUCAUGUCCAACCCAAACAUACUGUAUCAACCUAGUACAGAAGAAUCCCAAAAUACUGUUUUCUGGUAGGUUUUCCUGAUUUCCUAAGUAGAUUUUAAAAUUUAAACUACAGAUUACUCAUGUAUGAAAGAAA
ensembl:lncRNA